GUGCCUGAGGGUGAGAGCAGCGCGCAGAGCCGUUUCCCGUUUCCCGCACCGUCGCUUAGGAGUCGGGCCUGCUGGCCUCUUCCGGGGUGCAAGCACAGUGCCAGACAGAAAGGGAACUUGCCAUAGCUCCCCAGCACUGCUGACCAGGAGCCACCCAAGGUGUCUCACCCUGGUGGAGCUAUGGCAUUUACGGGUACCCUGGCUAUCUGGGCUACGCUAUUGUCAUCUUCUACAUCUUCAGCUGGGUGAAAAGGACCAGGAAAAGCAGCUCCAAAGGCCAGUCAGAUACCAUUUAUGAAAACACGACUUUUGAAACACCCCCCACAAACAGCUGUAAAAGAGUUCCCCCUGUCUACAUAAAAUACGUCAAGAAGUAAUCUUAAAGGGUAGGAGAAAGACUGGUUUCUAUUCAGAGUGGCUUUGUUUUAUUAUGUGUACAAAAUACUCAGCCUGUCCUGCUAGUGUGCACGUCCCAGUGUUGAUGGGAAGAGAUGGCUUCAGAAAGAAAGAAAGAAAGAAAGAAGAGCUCUACAGAUGGAGUAAAACUGCCUUUGUCCACACUAGCUGCAUGCACCUGUCUACCUACCUGUGGUACUUACAUGAACUCCUGCUUCCAAAGUAUCUGAGCACAUGACAAUCUUUAAUUAUUUACUUCGCCUCGCAACACCCAUUGGUUUCCCCAUUUUACAGGCGGGGAACUGAGAUGCUAAGUGACUUGCCCCAGAUCACACAGAGUCUGUGGGUUUGUCUACACCAUGCAGCUUUUAGCGACAAGGCUGUGUCAACACAGCCUUGUUGCUAAAAGUCAGCGUGUGUAAAUGCUCUUUUUCAGUACUUUGUCAGCACUUUACGUCCAGCCCAGUGAGUGCUCCUGCCGACAAAGCUGCGUUCACACUGCCACUUGCGUUGGCAAAACUUUUGUCUUUCACUGGGGGGGGGGGGGGGGGCUUUUCCAAGUACCCAUGAAAGACAAAAUGUUGUCAACAACUUCGCAGUGUAGACCAGCCCUCAGGCAGAGAAGGAAAUUGAAUCCCAGUUUCCCAAGUUCCAGGUUAGCCCUCCAACCAUUGGACCACCCAGCACCAACCCGUGUUGGUGAAGAUAUGCAUUGUCCUUCUGGGAGGAGCCCUCUUCAAUGUUUCCAUUUUAUGCAUAUACAUUACUUCAUUUACAUAAGUGAACCAAGCUACAGCAUUGCAAAAUAAAAGCACUGUGCUCAAUAUCUCCCCAAGUUGCCUCAUCCUCCCACCACCUUGUAGAUCAUUUACCUUCAGCUCCGCUGCUAUGCCCACAGCACCCUCAGGAACAAUCUGAGUCGUGGCCUUCUUCAAUGGGCAGGAUUUUCUCCAUGAAGUGGGAUGACAGUUCUUCACAGCGCUUAGUGCUGGGUUCUGCCUAGGCUUGAAGAAAGUCUUUGCUUCCUUCUGUCUGUUUCAGCUUUUGUUUUCCCAUCAUCGACACUCCCGUUUCUACCCCUCUCUCUUUGUCUGGCACAGGGUGUCAGAAAACCAUAGAGAUCUAUGGGUGAUAGGGAGGAAGGGGCAGUUUAGGGGCCAAUGCAUUGAGGAUAGUGCACAAGGGUAAUAAUUCACCAGAUCCUCGACUCCUUGUCUUUUGCGUGGAUUGCUGCUGUCCUAUUGGCACGCUUUGGAAUUUGGUGGGGUCUUAGUGGUCAAAUCAGACUUGUGGGUCUUUCACGGAAAGUGGGAGAGCUCUGACCACUAUCUUCAUGAGGUGAUGAUCUAAGAUAGGGCUUGGGCUGUGAUGUCCUCCAUAUUGACAUCUAAACCAAGGAUCAGGUCCAAGGUGCGACUGGCUGUGUGGAUUCGCCCAAAGAGGUGAGAAUCAUAGAGAGGCAAGAGUCAAUAUGCAUGUUGAAAUCUUCCAGGACAAGUCUAAAAUAUGUCACCACCACCAUAAGCAAGGUAUCUGUGAGCUCCUUUAUGAACUCUUACAGUCUAUCAAAGGAUAAAAUCAGCAUGACAUUUCUAAGCUUGGUUUCUCUUUACCUCUGACCUUGCUAAAUCCAGUUAUGAGCAGGCAAUCUUAGAACUAUUGGUGGCUCCUUCUCGGACUUUAAAAUUAAUUUGGCUAAAUCUUCUGGUUUCUCUUCAGCACACCAGCACCGGUGCAAACAGGUUUUCUGUCGGACAACGCGGGGAUGUGUGUGUUAUUUAUCCAUCUGUUCACAUGUAAACUGAGUAUUGUCUGAUUCUCAAUGGGCUUCCUAUCAAGCCUGAACUGUAUGGAAAUGAAGGAUGCUGUGGGGAGGGGGACUUCAGACAUAUCUAACGGGAAGAGAAGACUAGAAGGGGGAAGGGAACCUUAUCUGGGGGGAGCACUUUGAAGGUUUGCUUGACUGUAUUUGUGGGGCAGAGAAGAUGCCUGAGCACCUUUCAUGGGGGAAGCUACAAGCUUGAUGGAAAAAAGCUGAAGAGAACACUGAGUGAGAUCAAACUUCUUUAGACAGGAAGUUAAUCUCUUAGUUAAAUUUAGUCUCUUGAAAGCGUGUUAUGAUUUUGCUUUACAUGUAACCACCUGUUCCCAGUAUUCUCACUCACUGUUACCUGGAUCUCUAAACUUUGAUAAUAUAUUUAUACUGAAAACAAGAAUAAGUUUGUCUAAGUGCUGUGCAAAGUGCUGGUGCUGAGCUGAAUCUUACAAGCGGGUGGGUACUGUCCCUUUGGGAAUAACAGGCCUGGUGGCUCUGGAGUGUGCACUGGUUCAGGGGCUGGAAGCUGCAGGGAAUGAUCUGAGGAAUCGGGGGUUGAUGUGUGCCUAGCGCUACCUCUACAGACAGAGCCAGGCCUGCGGGGCCCUGGAAGGCAGGGCUUGUGUUGGCAGGGGCUAGUGGAUUCAGGGAGCUGAUCCACAGCAGGCACAGACAAGGCUGUCUCCUGUGAAGGUAGUGUUGCCAACCCUUCAAAUUGUCCUGGAGUUUCCAGGAAUUACAGAUUAAUCUGUAAUUAAAGAUUAUGUCCUGUGAUGAAACUUCCAGGAAUAUGUCCAACCAAAAUUGGCAACCCUAUGCGAAAGGCAAGUGGUUGUGAGGUGCCUGAUAAUCCAGGGUACCCCUGGGGAAUGUCAUUCCAGGUCAAUAGUACAUACACAUACUGUGAGACUACACUAUAGAGACUGAGAAGAUCAGAGAGGAACCUGUCUGCAUGUGUUGGGAGGUCAGACUAGAUCAGUGGUUCUCAACCUAUUUAUCAUUGUGGGCCACAUCCAAUACUACCUAUAUGGCCCUAAGGGUGUCACAUGGACCGCAGCUGUGUGCUGAUUGGGCUGCAAGUGGCCCACGGGUUCAGAACCACUGGACUACAUGAUCACAAUGGUCCCUUCUGGUCUUGGAAUCUAUGAACCCACGUAUUGAAACAUAUGAUAGCAACAAAGUGGGGAAGUCUGUAUAAAGAACACCAGUAGGCUUACUGGCUAAUAGCUUGGGUUAAGAAGUUACUCAAAAGUCUUCCAAAAUCUGUUUGCAAAUGUUUGUGUAUGUAUUAAAUAUUUGCUCCCUAAGA